UAGGUUGUUACAGAGUAUUCAGCAGAGUUCCCUGUGCUAUACACCUUGGCAGCCAUUCUGUGACCAUGAAGAAAAGGCCAAGAGAAUUGCUGAGGUACCAGCCCUACACUGACAAACCAACACCAGCAGCCACGUACUUCCAGACUUCUACAAGAAAAAUAAACCCACUUUGUUAGCCAC